rnacentral:tRNA from 1 species
UCCUCGUUAGUAUAGUGGUCAGUAUCCCCGCCUGUCACGCGGGAUGCCGGGGUUCAAUUCCCCGACGGGGGA